CCCUUAGAUGUCCUGGGCUGCACGCGCGCUACACUGAUGUGUCCAGUAAGCACCUAACCUCUUCCGAAAGGAACGGGUAACCUUUGCAAAGCACAUCGUGAUGGGGAUAGAUUAUUGCAAUUAUUAGUCUUGAACGAGGAAUUCCUAGUAAGCACUAGUCAUCAGCUAAUGUUGAUUAUGUCCCUGCCCUUUGUACACACCGCCCGUCGCUACUACUGAUUGGGUGUUCAAGUGAGAUGCUUAGACCCUUGUUGCAUGGUUCAUUAUUGUGCUCCGAAAGGAAAAAGUUUCAAGCUUGAGUGUCUAGAGGAAGUAAAAGUCGUAACA
rnacentral:rRNA from 1 species